rnacentral:rRNA from 1 species
AGGAAAGUAGGGGAUCGCAAGACCUUGCGCUUUUGGAGCGGCCGAUGUCUGAUUAGCUAGUUGGUGAGGUAAAGGCUUACCAAGGCUUCGAUCAGUAGCUGGUCUGAGAGGACGAUCAGCCACACUGGGACUGAGACACGGCCCAGACUCCUACGGGAGGCAGCAGUGGGGAAUUUUGGACAAUGGGGGAAACCCUGAUCCAGCCAUGCCGCGUGAGUGAAGAAGGCCUUCGGGUUGUAAAGCUCUUUCAGCCGGAACGAAAGGGUUACGGUUAAUACCCGUGACUAAUGACGGUACCGGAAGAAGAAGCACCGGCUAACUACGUGCCAGCAGCCGCGGUAAUACGUAGGGUGCGAGCGUUAAUCGGAAUUACUGGGCGUAAAGCGUGCGCAGGCGGUUUUGUAAGUCAGAUGUGAAAUCCCCGGGCUCAACCUGGGAACUGCGUUUGAAACUACAAAGCU